rnacentral:rRNA from 1 species
UACGUAGGUGGCAAGCGUUGUCCGGAAUUAUUGGGCGUAAAGCGCGCGCAGGCGGUCCUUUAAGUCUGAUGUGAAAUUCCACGGCUCAACCGUGGAAGGUCAUUGGAAACUGGGGGACUUGAGUACAGAAGAGGAAAGCGGAAUUCCAAGUGUAGCGGUGAAAUGCGUAGAGAUGUGGAGGAACACCAGUGGCGAAGGCGGCUUUUUGGUCUGUAACUGACGCUGAGGCGCGAAAGCGUGGGGAGCAAACAGG